GCUCAGGUCAAUAAUGGAUGGAAUCAUUGUUCACAUAGGAUUGACAGAUUCUGACUAAACAUCAUAGCUA
rnacentral:sRNA from 1 species